CCAAGACUUCACGGACUGUUACUGCAGCUGUUUCAUUGCCAGCUGUGAGGAUGAAGCAGCUUCAUAGCCGGACAUCAGACACCUUCCAGGAGUUCCCCUUUUCAGCAACAGAGGCCUAGGUAUGCUCUUACCUAGUUUUUUU
rnacentral:lncRNA from 1 species